UUGGAAUUUAUCUAGUCUUCAAUAUUUAUAGUGAUAAUCACAAAGAACGUGGAAUUAAAACUUGAUUACAUGAUAAGUCCAUUAACCCAUGAUGUUCUUUCCCCUAAGGAACACGUUUCUCAUCAUGUCCCAUGAUCCCAUGAUCUCAAUAUGAACGUGGAUAUAUUUUAGCCACUACUCCUAAGUAAUAGGAGUUCCUUGAGCUUUAUCCGAAAAUCAGUUUUAUAAAAACAACUUUUAUCUUUAAAACUGAAUUUUUAAUAUUUAAGAAAAUAAUAUCUUUUAAACAAAUUCUUUCUAAAACCGGAUAUUUAUUUUCUUUAUUUUUCCGAAAAACAAAAUCUUUUUCUUAAAUGGAUUUUCUUUUUAAAACUGAUUUUAUCAUUUGAAAUUAGAUAAAACUAAUUGCCUAUAAUUUAGGCAUGAUUUACUCAAUUUCACAAUUAUACCUUUAUACUUUUGCACUCCUAAGUCUAGUUCCUUUUAUAAACUAAGUUCCUUUAACAGAUUCAUUUAGUGCCACUUAGUUUGCGCCUUACAAAGGAACAAACUCUCAUUCUCAAAUAAAACUGCCACUGUUCCUUACCCAUGCUUACUUUGUUCCUUUACACUGGAACUAGAAAAUAAAACGCCUAACUUUUAUUCUUCUUGAUCCAAUGCUUGCUCCAGUAUCAACUUAUAGAAACUUCUUUACUUAGCCUUUGAAAUCAUCUCUUGACUUCUUCCUUGACUUCGUAUUCUCCCAGUUCCUUUCAUUGAUACCUUAAACAUCAUACACUCAUAGAAACUCAUUAGUUCACUACUUAGUUUGCAUCUUUGUUUCUUUGUCAUCAUCAAAACUAGGGUUCAACAAUUUCCCCCCUUUUUGAUGAUGACAACAAAGGUACAAACUAAGGACAAUAACAAAUAAUAUAAGUGAAUGAUAAUGAUAAAAUAAUAAAGAAGAAAAUGAAAAAUAAAACACAAUUAUGUAAGUAAUUAUAUUUUGAUUUUUCAUUCACCUCAACCUAUGUUUGGUUUUUCAUUUACCUUAUCCAAUUUUUUAAUUUUUUUUUAAUUUUUUUUUAAUUUAUGUACAGUUUGUUCCUUGGACAGAUCAUGGUGACUUUGGCCAUAAGAAAAAAGAAUUUGUGAAGUUGUUUGUUUUUGCUACGAAUCAUGACAGGACAGGAAGAUAAACUGGAUUCUCUAAUACUUGGAACAAGUUAGCAAGCAUGUGAGCAUCUUUGAUGGGGAGGAGGGAUUAUUUAUUGCUCGUUACUUUUGUAGAGCCAUUCUAGCUAUAAAAUUUCUAAAGUAAAGUGCUUUAUCCUUGGUUUAGUGAGUUGCGUUUAGCAUGUCCAUGUAAGUUCUAUUGACUAUCAAUCUAGAAAUAAUAGCAAACAAUAAUAGAAUAUCAAAUAAUAAAGCUAGAAAGAACACACCAGGAAUUUUACGUGGAAACCCAAGAACUGGGAGAAAAACCACGAAUCUGCACUAGGAAUCGAUGAAUAUUCAAGAAAGAUUACAAAAAGCGCUCAAGAACUCUCUCUAUAGCCUUUUCUCUCUCUAAUAUGUGUUUAAAGAUGACACUAGUAGAAUAAAUGCUAUUUGCUGCAGUGAUAUUGCUGCGAUUUUACCUAUACGCAGCAAUAUAACACGCAAAAAAAAAGAAAAAAUAGAAAUUAGCAAUAUUGCUGCGGUUCCCGCCCAAAACCGCAGCAAUAUUGUCUAACAGACACUUUUUAAAAAUAAUGUGGGGCCCUGAACAACAAAUAUUGCUGCGAUUUCCACGUAGGACCGCAGCAAUAUAUUAAAAAAAUAUUUUUUUUAACUAUAUUGCUGCGGUCCUACGUGGCAACCGCAGCAAUAUAUGCUGAACUAACCAAAAAAUAAACGGGCGCCUGUUGAAAUUAUAAAACACAACAUUAGAAUUUUUCUUUCACUCCUGUCAAGAGAGGCGCCUCUCUGUCCUCUCUCUCUCCUCCUCUUUCCUCUCUCUCUCUCCUCUCUCCUCUCUCCCAGUCGUUCGUUUUCCCUCACCUUCUCUCUCCUCUCAGCCUUCGUUUUCUCUCACCCUCCCUCCUCACUCACCGUCGCCACCCUCGCUCGACACAACAAAGCCUCACUCAAUCGUCGUUCGUCGAGAUGCGGGAUGCGGAAGGUUGAUGCGAGAGAUCUUCACUCAAACUUGUUGAUGCGAGAAUUCGUGGUGGUGGUUUUCUCGAGCCGCUUUCGUUCUCCUCUUCGCCGGUCGAUCGUUCUCCUCUUCGCCGGUGGUCGAUCGUUCGUCUCUGGUAGCCUCCAACAGAUCUAGUUGCGUUGAUUACGAUUUGUCGAGUGCUGAAGAGGUUUUCGUUGGGUUGAUUCAUUCUGUUCUUCGUGGGUUCACCUGGUGAGGAUGAAGACUCGCUCGUGCACUCGUCGUUCUAAUUCGUUGUUCCUCAAAAAUCUCCAGAUUCUUUUUUCUGCAUUUUUAUUUUUUGAGAUUCAAUAUAGUAUUAGGUUCUGAUUUUUGGUUAUUUUUGUAAUAUUUUUCUUUUGAAUCUCUUUUCUUAUGUGUUGUAUUUUUUGUGUAUUUUUUUUGUUUUUGAAUUUUGUGUAUCUCUUCUGUUUUUGAGUAUUUUUCUUUUGAUGUUAGUUUCGAACUUAUGUCUUUAUUAUUUGAGAAAUUUUAAUUUGUUGUGUUUA